rnacentral:rRNA from 1 species
AGAGCGAACGCUGGCGGCAGGCCUAACACAUGCAAGUCGAGCGCCCCGCAAGGGGAGCGGCAGACGGGAGAGUAACACGUGGGAACGUACCCUUCAGUUCGGAACAACCCAGGGAAACUUGGGCUAAUACCGAAUACGUCCGUAAGGAGAAAGAUUUAUCGCUGAAGGAUCGGCCCGCGUCUGAUUAGCUUGUUGGUGAGGUAACGGCUCACCAAGGCUACGAUCAGUAGCUGGUCUGAGAGGAUGAUCAGCCUCACUGGGACUGAGACACGGCCCAGACUCCUACGGGAGGCAGCAGUGGGGAAUAUUGGACAAUGGGCGCAAGCCUGAUCCAGCCAUGCCGCGUGGAUGAUGAAGGCCUUAGGGUUGUAAAGUCCUUUCGACGGGGAAGAUAAUGACGGUACCCGUAGAAGAAGCCCCGGCUAACUUCGUGCCAGCAGCCGC